AAGGCAAAGGAAAAUGUUUCAUUAACCUGCGCUGUUAAAGGACCAUCGAACAUAAAAAUCGUUUGGAAAUUCGCUACAGUCUCGUCAGAUGAAAAUAUUUAUUCCAAGGGUGGUGUUACAUUUUACCCAGCAACACAAUCAAAUACUACAUCAGGAUG
rnacentral:sRNA from 1 species